rnacentral:tRNA from 1 species
UGGGACGUCGCCAAGCGGUAAGGCAAGGGACUUUGACUCCCUCAUUUCACUGGUUCGAAUCCAGUCAUCCCAACCA